CGUGUAGGCGGCUCAUCAAGUCUGGUGUGGAAGCGCAGGGCUCAACCCUGCGUAGGCGCUGGAAACUGGUGGGCUGGAGUUCCUGAGGGGAAGCUGGAAUUCCAGGUGUAGGGGUGAAAUCUGUAGAUAUCUGGAAGAACACCGGUGGCGAAGGCGAGCUUCUAUCAGAGGACUGACGCUGAGGCGCGAAAGCGUGGGGAGCAAACAGGAUUAGAUACCCUGGUAGUCCACGCUGUAAACGAUGUGCAUUAGGCGUGGGGCACGUACGUGUUCUGUGCCGUAGUUAACGUGAUAAGUGCACCGCCUGGGGAGUAUGCUCGCAAGGGUGAA
rnacentral:rRNA from 1 species